CGCCAGACUCCUACGGGAGGCAGCAGUGGGGAAUAUUGCACAAUGGGGGGAACCCUGAUGCAGCGACGCCGCGUGGGUGAAGAAGCGCCUCGGCGCGUAAAGCCCUGUCAGCAGGGAAGAAAAUGACGGUACCUGAAGAAGAAGCCCCGGCUAACUACGUGCCAGCAGCCGCGGUAAUACGUAGGGGGCAAGCGUUAUCCGGAUUUACUGGGUGUAAAGGGGGCGCAGACGGCAGCGCAAGCCAGGAGUGAAAGCCCGGGGCCCAACCCCGGGACUGCUCUUGGAACUGCGCGGCUGGAGUGCAGGAGGGGCAGGCGGAAUUCCUGGUGUAGCGGUGAAAUGCGUAGAUAUCAGGAGGAACACCGGCGGCGGAGGCGGCCUGCUGGACCGUGACUGACGUUGAGGCUCGAGAGCGUGGGGAGCAAACAGGAUUAGAUACCCUCGUA
rnacentral:rRNA from 1 species